AUAACUGUAUCCUUCAUUUUUAAAUAUCAUUUCUGACGAUAUAAGCAUAUGUGAUGAAUGCUGCUGAAAGAAAGCUGAUUCUGAGGUCCUCCUACUCUUAGAAAUUCCUGCUUUAGAAUCUAUAUCUUGCAGAGAUGGAAUCAAAUUUAACAUAUCUGAAACUGUCCGUUUUCUUGGAUCCUUUUCCCGUUUGGAAACAUUAUGACCAGCACCCUGAAAGACAGCAGUGUCUCCUGCUGCUUGAGAUACGGGAGUUGUAGCUAAUGAGCUUGAUCCAGUGGCUCUAACUGAAGCAGCUAAAGGCCCAGUAGGGGAGCUUCUCAG
rnacentral:misc_RNA from 1 species